UUGUAGCAGACGAAUUUCUGGAAGCAAACGAAAUUCUUCGGCUGAAAGAGCAGAGCAACUUACAAACAAAAAUAAAAUAAAAAUAAAGUAGAUGUUGGCAUUAAAACAGUUGUUGGCACAUCCACCCAAGGAUUCCCUUAAUUUCGACAGAGGAAGCUGAGGGAUGAACAGUUACAUCUAUCAGGAAUUAUUGAUCGGGUCUUAAGUCCUAUCAAAUACAUCUCUUAGGUACAUGAAUUGGCUAUCAGGUUUUCUCAACAGCUUUCAAGUCAUUCAAACUGAAACAUGAUGGUCUUUUGGAUCAACUCGUCAUUUUCAAGAUUAUCAAGCAACAGAGAAAAUUAAAGCUUACAUAAUAAAAUUGAUCGUCGCGUUCGUUCAGAUUCAUUCUAAUAAAGUGAUUUAUUUGGC